GUCCUCCUGCUUUAGCCUCCAAACAGCUCGCAAAAUGCUUUUCUAAUAAUUAUUUUUAAAGUGCUGUUGUUUAGCAAAAAUGAAUCCAUUAAGACAGAACCACAUUUAGUGUGCCCAGGGAAACGAAGGCCCAACCUAGGAAGUCUCAAUCGGCCGGCAGGUGUAGAUGGCCAAACCGGGUCAUUGGGUCCCCCCACCCUCUUCCCCCAUAAACCCAAAGUAAAUGAUAUUUUGCAUAUUUUAGGAACUCAAGGAGGGGCCGGGGAUGUAGCUCAGUGGUUCUGCCACCUGCCUCACAAGCACAAGGUCCAGGAUUCAAUCCCCAGAACGAAAAAAACCAUGGAAUUCAAGAAGCAUUUUGGGAACACAAAGCAAAUGACCCCCGAGACAGGAGGAGAGAUCUGGGACGGCAAGACUGCUGAUGCCAGGGCCAGGUGACUCACCCAAGGGCAUCCCGGGAGGGAGCAGAGAAACCGGCUGAGAACAGGAGCCCAGCGGAGCUGCCUCUGCUCUCCUGACACCCUGUCCACCCCCACACCCGGAGCCGGAGAAGCCAGGCUGCCGGGGAUGAAGCCACAGCACCCCAGAUCCCUGAGAGGCUGCCCAAAGGACAAGCUGUGAUCCCAGUACUCUGGAGGCUGAGGCAGGAGGAUCGCCAGUUUUGAGUUUGAGGCCAGCUUAGGCUACAUAGCAAGACCUGGUCUCCAAAAACAACAAUAAAAACAACACAAAACCAAAAUAAACUAUGAUGAUGAACAAUGACCCUCCCAAAUUUGUGUCCCCUGAACCCAAGCGGGUGACCUUAUUUGAAAGCAGGAUCCAAAGCCAGGUAUGGUGACACACGCU
rnacentral:lncRNA from 1 species